CUUUUACAAUGAAGAGUUUGAUCCUGGCUCAGGAUGAACGCUAGCUACAGGCUUAACACAUGCAAGUCGAGGGGCAGCAUUUCAGUUUGCUUGCAAACUGGAGAUGGCGACCGGCGCACGGGUGAGUAACACGUAUCCAACCUGCCGAUAACUCGGGGAUAGCCUUUCGAAAGAAAGAUUAAUACCCGAUGGCAUAAUUAGACCGCAUGGUCUUAUUAUUAAAGAAUUUCGGUUAUCGAUGGGGAUGCGUUCCAUUAGGCAGUUGGUGAGGUAACGGCUCACCAAACCUUCGAUGGAUAGGGGUUCUGAGAGGAAGGUCCCCCACAUUGGAACUGAGACACGGUCCAAACUCCUACGGGAGGCAGCAGUGAGGAAUAUUGGUCAAUGG
rnacentral:rRNA from 1 species